AUUCGAGCGUCAUUACAACCCUCAAGCUAUGCUUGGUAUUCGGUCCUACCUGCUAGGCAGGCCGUAAAAUCAGUGGCGGUGCUAUUUGGCUCCAGGCGCAGUAAAUUACCUCGCCUUGGAUGUCUGAUAUGUGCCUGCCAGCAACCACAAUUUUUUAACAGGUUGACCUCGGAUUAGGUAGGGAUACCCGCUGAACUUAA
rnacentral:misc_RNA from 1 species